rnacentral:snRNA from 1 species
GUGCUCAUUUCCGCAGCACAUACCCUAAGACUGGAACGAUAUAGAGAUUAGCGUGGCCUCUGCACAAGGAUGACAUGCAGAUUUUAUCCCUGAAAUCU